GUAUCGAACAAGGGGUGCCUAAAACAACAGGCUGAGAUUAUACCCUUUGCUCCUGGCGCAGCCGGGGCAAGCACCUGAUCCGGGUAAUACCGGCGUAGGGAACGUUUGUACACCACACC
rnacentral:ncRNA from 17 species